GCGGACGUGGUGGAAUUGGUAGACACACCAGAUUUAGGUUCUGGCGCCGCAAGGUGUGAGAGUUCGAGUCUCUCUGUCCGCACCA
rnacentral:tRNA from 4 species